rnacentral:rRNA from 1 species
UUACGGCCAAAUCACGAUGAACAGUCCGGUUCUCGUUCGAUCACCGAAGUUAAUCAUCGUCGAGCCAGGUCAGUACUUAGAUUGGGUCCGCUUGGUAACACCUGGUAAUGUAA